GGGCUCGCAGGCGGUUUCUUAAGUCUGAUGUGAAAGCCCCCGGCUCAACCGGGGAGGGUCAUUGGAAACUGGGGAACUUGAGUGCAGAAGAGGAGAGUGGAAUUCCACGUGUAGCGGUGAAAUGCGUAGAGAUGUGGAGGAACACCAGUGGCGAAGGCGACUCUCUGGUCUGUAACUGACGCUGAGGAGCGAAAGCGUGGGGAGCGAACAGGAUUAGAUACCCUGGUAGUCCACGCCGUAAACGAUGAGUGCUAAGUGUUAGGGGGUUUCCGCCCCUUAGUGCUGCAGCUAACGCAUUAAGCACUCCGCCUGGGGAGUACGGUCGCAAGACUGAAACUCAAAGGAAUUGACGGGGGCCCGCACAAGCGGUGGAGCAUGUGGUUUAAUUCGAAGCAACGCGAAGAACCUUACCAGGUCUUGACAUCCUCUGACAAUCCUAGAGAUAGGACGUCCCCUUCGGGGGCACAGAGACACGUGGUGCAUGUUUGUCGUCAGCUCGCGUCGCGAGAUGUUGGGUUAUGUCUCGCAACGAGCGCAACCCUUGAGCUUAGUUGCCAGCAUUCAGUUGGGCACUCUAAGGUGACUG
rnacentral:rRNA from 1 species